rnacentral:rRNA from 1 species
AUUGAACGCUGGCGGCAGGCCUAACACAUGCAAGUCGAACGGUAGCACAGAGAGCUUGCUCUCGGGUGACGAGUGGCGGACGGGUGAGUAAUGUCUGGGAAACUGCCCGAUGGAGGGGGAUAACUACUGGAAACGGUAGCUAAUACCGCAUAACGUCGCAAGACCAAAGUGGGGGACCUUCGGGCCUCACACCAUCGGAUGUGCCCAGAUGGGAUUAGCUAGUAGGUGGGGUAAUGGCUCACCUAGGCGACGAUCCCUAGCUGGUCUGAGAGGAUGACCAGCCACACUGGAACUGAGACACGGUCCAGACUCCUACGGGAGGCAGCAGUGGGGAAUAUUGCACAAUGGGCGCAAGCCUGAUGCAGCCAUGCCGCGUGUAUGAAGAAGGCCUUCGGGUUGUAAAGUACUUUCAGCGGGGAGGAAGGCGGUGAAGUUAAUAACUUCACCGAUUGACGUUACCCGCAGAAGAAGCACCGGCUAACUCCGUGCCAGCCGCCGCAGUAA